GUGAGGGGUCUGGAGCACAGGCCUCAUGAGGUGUGGCUGAAGGAGCUGGGAUUGUUCAGAGCAUCAAGAGGAUGCUCAGGGGAGACCUUAUUGCUCUCUACAAGUACCUGAAGGGAGGUUGUAGUGAGCUGGGGGUCAGCCUCUUCUCUUGUGUGACUAGUGAUAGGACUAGAGGGAAUGGCUUCAAGCUGCGCCAGGGAAGGUUCAGGCUGGAUGUUAGGAAAUACUACUUCUCUGAAAGGGUGUUCAGGCACUGGAAUGGGCUGCCCAGAGAGGUGGUGGAGUCACCGACCCUGGUGGUGUUCAAGGAACGUUUGGGCAUUGUGUUG
rnacentral:lncRNA from 1 species